rnacentral:rRNA from 1 species
GCUGGCGGCGUGCCUAACACAUGCAAGUCGAACGAGAAAGUGGAGCAAUCCAUGAGUAAAGUGGCGACCGGGUGAGUAACACGUGACUAACCUACCCUUUAGUGGGGAAUAACUCCGGGAAACCGGGGCUAAUACCGCAUAACAUCGCAAGAUCAAAGCAGCAAUGCGCUGGAGGAGGGGGUCGCGGCUGAUUAGCUAGUUGGCGGGGUAACGGCCCACCAAGGCGAAGAUCGGUAUCCGGCCUGAGAGGGCGCACGGACACACUGGAACUGAAACACGGUCCAGACUCCUACGGGAGGCAGCAGUGGGGAAUUUUGCGCAAUGGGGGAAACCCUGACGCAGCAACGCCGCGUGGAGGAUGAAGCCCCUUGGGGCGUAAACUCCUUUCGACCAAGACGAUAAUGACGGUACUGGUGGAAGAAGCACCGGCUAACUCUGUGCCAGCAGCCGCGGUAAUACAGAGGGUGCGAGCGUUGUUCGGAAUUAUUGGGCGUAAAGGGCGCGUAGGCGGUGCCACAAGUCACUUGUGAAAUCUCCGAGCUUAACUCGGAGCCUGCAGGCGAAACUGUGGUGCUGGAGUGUGGGAAAGGUGCGUGGAAUUCCCGGUGUAGCGGUGAAAUG